rnacentral:rRNA from 1 species
GACGGAGGGUGCUAGCGUUGUUCGGAAUUACUGGGCGUAAAGAGCGCGUAGGCGGCUUAGCAAGUUGGAAGUGAAAUCCCGGAGCUUAACUUCGGAAUUGCUUUCAAAACUACUGAGCUAGAGUAUGGUAGGGGGUGAUGGAAUUCCUAGUGUAGAGGUGAAAUUCUUAGAUAUUAGGAGGAACACCAGUGGCGAAGGCGGUCACCUGGGCCAUUACUGACGCUGAGACGCGAAAGCGUGGGGAGCAAACAGG